UACGUAGGGGGCAAGCGUUGUCCGGAUUUAUUGGGCGUAAAGAGCGCGUAGGCGGCUGGGUAGGUCCGUUGUGAAAACUCGAGGCUCAACCUCGAGACGCCGAUGGAAACCCUCCAGCUAGAGUCCGGAAGAGGAGAGUGGAAUUCCUGGUGUAGCGGUGAAAUGCGCAGAUAUCAGGAAGAACACCCGUGGCGAAGGCGGCUCUCUAGUACGGUACUGACGCUGAGACGCGAAAGCGUGGGGAGCGAACAGG
rnacentral:rRNA from 1 species